rnacentral:rRNA from 1 species
UACAGAGGUCCCAAGCGUUUGUUCGGAUUCACUGGGCGUAAAGGGUGCGUAGGUGGUGAGGUAAGUCGGAUGUGAAAUCUCCGGGCUCAACCCGGAAAUGGCAUUGGAAACUACCUUGCUAGAGGGUUUGAGGGGGGAUUGGAAUACUUGGUGUAGCAGUGAAAUGCGUAGAUAUCAAGUGGAACACCAGUGGCGAAGGCGAAUCCCUGGAAAACACCUGACACUGAGGCACGAAAGCUAGGGGAGCAAACAGGG